rnacentral:rRNA from 1 species
GUAAGGACAUGUGGAGCGCUUAGAAGUGAGAAUGCCGGUGUGAGUAGCGAAAGACGGGUGAGAAUCCCGUCCACCGAUUGACUAAGGUUUCCAGAGGAAGGCUCGUCCGCUCUGGGUUAGUCGGGUCCUAAGCUGAGGCCGACAGGCGUAGGCGAUGGAUAACAGGUUGAUAUUCCUGUACCACCUAUAAUCGUUUUAAUCGAUGGGGGGACGCAGUAGGAUAGGCGAAGCGGGCGAUUGGAUUGCACGUCUAAGCAGUAAGGCUGAGUAUUAGGCAAAUCCGGUGGUGCUCAAGG